GAUGAACGCUGGCGGCGUACCUAAUACAUGCAAGUCGAGCGAACGGACGAGAAGCUUGCUUCUCUGAUGUUAGCGGCGGACGGGUGAGUAACACGUGGAUAACCUACCUAUAAGACUGGGAUAACUUCGGGAAACCGGAGCUAAUACCGGAUAAUAUUUUGAACCGCAUGGUUCAAAAGUGAAAGACGGUCUUGCUGUCACUUAUAGAUGGAUCCGCGCUGCAUUAGCUAGUUGGUAAGGUAACGGCUUACCAAGGCAACGAUGCAUAGCCGACCUGAGAGGGUGAUCGGCCACACUGGAACUGAGACACGGUCCGGACUCCUACGGGAGGCAGCAGUAGGGAAUCUUCCGCAAUGGGCGAAAGCCUGACGGAGCAACGCCGCGUGAGUGAUGAAGGUCUUCGGAUCGUAAAACUCUGUUAUUAGGGAAGAACAUAUGUGUAAGUAACUGUGCACAUCUUGACGGUACCUAAUCAGAAAGCCGCGGCUAACUACGUGCCAGCAGCCGCGGUAAUACGUAGGUGGCAAGCGUUAUCCGGAAUUAUUGGGCGUAAAGCGCGCGUAGGCGGUUUUUUAAGUCUGAUGUGAAAGCCCACGGCUCAACCCGUGGAGGGUCAUUGGAAACUGGAAAACUUGAGUGCAGAAGAGGAAAGUGGAAUUCCAUGUGUAGCGGUGAAAUGCGCAGAGAUAUGGAGGAACACCAGUGGCGAAGGCGACUUUCUGGUCUGUAACUGACGCUGAUGUGCGAAAGCGUGGGGAUCAAACAGGAUUAGAUACCCUGGUAGUCCACGCCGUAAACGAUGAGUGCUAAGUGUUAGGGGGUUUCCGCCCCUUAGUGCUGCAGCUAACGCAUUAAGCACUCCGCCUGGGGAGUACGACCGCAAGGUUGAAACUCAAAGGAAUUGACGGGGACCCGCACAAGCGGUGGAGCAUGUGGUUUAAUUCGAAGCAACGCGAAGAACCUUACCAAAUCUUGACAUCCUUUGACAACUCUAGAGAUAGAGCCUUCCCCUUCGGGGGACAAAGUGACAGGUGGUGCAUGGUUGUCGUCAGCUCGUGUCGUGAGAUGUUGGGUUAAGUCCCGCAACGAGCGCAACCCUUAAGCUUAGUUGCCAUCAUUAAGUUGGGCACUCUAAGUUGACUGCCGGUGACAAACCGGAGGAAGGUGGGGAUGACGUCAAAUCAUCAUGCCCCUUAUGAUUUGGGCUACACACGUGCUACAAUGGACAAUACAAAGGGCAGCGAAACCGCGAGGUCAAGCAAAUCCCAUAAAGUUGUUCUCAGUUCGGAUUGUAGUCUGCAACUCGACUACAUGAAGCUGGAAUCGCUAGUAAUCGUAGAUCAGCAUGCUACGGUGAAUACGUUCCCGGGUCU
rnacentral:rRNA from 1 species